GUGGGGAAUAUUGCGCAAUGGGCGAAAGCCUGACGCAGCAACGCCGUGUGAGGGAUGAAGGCUUUCGGGUCGUAAACCUCUGUCGGAAGGGAAGAACGGGCAAGGGUCUAAUAGGCCUUUGUUUUGACGGUACCUUUAGAGGAAGCACCGGCUAACUCCGUGCCAGCAGCCGCGGUAAUACGGAGGGUGCAAGCGUUAUUCGGAAUUACUGGGCGUAAAGCGCACGUAGGCCGCUUUGUAAGUCAGGGGUGAAAUCCCACGGCUCAACCGUGGAACUGCCCUUGAAACUGCAGAGCUUGAAUCCUGGAGAGGGUGGCGGAAUUCCUGGUGUAGGAGUGAAAUCCGUAGAUAUCAGGAGGAACACCGGUGGCGAAGGCGGCCACCUGGACAGGCAUUGACGCUGAGGUGCGAAAGUGUGGGGAGCAAACAGGAUUAGAAACCCUGGUAGUCC
rnacentral:rRNA from 1 species